GACGAACGCUGGCGGCGUGCCUAACACAUGCAAGUCGAACGAAGCAUUUAAGUGAAUCCCUUCGGGGUGAAGCUUUUAUGACUUAGUGGCGGACGGGUGAGUAACGCGUGAGUAACCUGCCUUUCAGAGGGGGACAACAGUUGGAAACGACUGCUAAUACCGCAUAACAUGUGACUGUGGCAUCACAGACACAUCAAAGAUUUAUCGCUGAAAGAUGGGCUCGCGUUGGAUUAGAUAGUUGGUGAGGUAACGGCUCACCAAGUCGACGAUCAGUAGCCGGUCUGAGAGGAUGAACGGCCACAUUGGGACUGAGAUACGGCCCAGACUCCUACGGGAGGCAGCAGUGGGGAAUAUUGGGCAAUGGGGGAAACCCUGACCCAGCAACGCCGCGUGAAGGAAGAAGGCCCUCGGGUUGGUAAACUUCUUUUACCAGGGACGAAGGACGUGACGGUACCUGGAGAAAAAGCAACGGCUAACUACGUG
rnacentral:rRNA from 1 species